rnacentral:rRNA from 1 species
UGGAAGUAAAAAGUCGUAACAAGGUUUCCGUAGGUGAACCUGCGGAAGGAUCAUUAUGCAUUCAUGGGAUACCAAAGUGUUCCCUGACACAAACCCUCCCUGCGUAUCAAUCCAUGUUGCUUUCCCAGGUGCUUGCUCACCUGGGAGAGGGCCUAUCCAUAACGAAUUAUUGAAUCAGCUGUCUGAGUUGGCCCAGCGCCAUAUUCUUUAAAUAAGUUAAAACUUUCAACAACGGAUCUCUUGGCUCUCGCAUCGAUGAAGAACGCAGCGAAAUGCGAUAAGUAAUGUGAAUUGCAGAAUUCAGUGAAUCAUCGAAUCUUUGAACGCACAUUGCGCCCCUUGGUAUUCCUUGGGGCAUGCCUGUUCGAGCGUCACUACAAACCCACUCAUACAUAUCAUGGUAUUGAUGGAAGUGGACUGUGGUUACUCAUAAUAUAUCCCGAUCACCCCAUUGAAAUAUAUAGGCAGGACAUUAAACCUCUGCAAUGGACUUAGUAACUGUUGUGAAAACAUAGACCAGUCCUUUGCCUGGUUCCAGCCUGGCCUCGAUGGACCUCCAUCCAAGAUAAACUC